rnacentral:rRNA from 1 species
GGGGGUUCGACUCCGGAGAAGGGGCCUGAGAAAUGGCCACUACGUCUAAGGAUGGCAGCAGGCGCGCAAAUUACCCACUCUCAGAACGAGGAGGUAGUGACGAGAAAUAACAAGACCGUUCUCUUCAGAGGCCGGUCAUUGGAAUGGGUACAAUUUAAACCCUUUAACGAGUAUCUAUGAGAGGGCAAGUCUGGUGCCAGCAGCCGCGGUAAUUCCAGCUCUCAAAAUGCAUAGAAUCAUUGCUGCGGUUAAAAAGCUCGUAGUUGGAUCUGUGCUGGCGGGUCGGUCCACCUUCGGGUGCGCACUGAUUUCGCCGGCUUUCCUGCUGUAUUUGGCCCUGUGCCUUUCAACGGGUGCAGUGUCCAGUGCAGCAAGUUUACCUUGAACAAAUCAGAGUGCUUCAAACAGGCGUUUCGCUUGAAUGUUCGUGCAUGGAAUAAUAGAAGAGGAUUUCGGUUCUAUUUUAUUGGUUUUAUAGACUGAGAUAAUGGUUAACAGAGACUAACGGGGGCAUUAGUAUUGCUACGUGAGAGGUGAAAUUCUUGGACCGUAGCUAGACUGACUACAGCGAAAGCAUUUGCCAAGAAAGUCUUCAUUAAUCAAGAACGAAAGUCAGAGGUUCGAAGGCGAUCAGAUACCGCCCUAGUUCUGACCGUAAACGAUGCCAACUAGUGAUCCGCCGGUGGAACAUUCGCCCUGGUGGGGAACUUCCCGGAAACGAAAGUCUUCCGGUUCCGGGGGAAGUAUGGUUGCAAAGCUGAAACUUAAAGGAAUUGACGGAAGGGCACCACCAGGAGUGGAGCCUGCGGCUUAAUUUGACCCAACACGGGAAAACUCACCCGGCCCGGACACCGUAAGGAUUGACAGAUUGAUAGCUCUUUCAUGAUUCGGUGGAUGGUGGUGCAUGGCCGUUCUUAGUUCGUGGAGCGAUUUGUCUGGUUUAUUCCGAUAACGAGCGAGACUCUGGCCUACUAAAUAGUUUACACAUUGCUUCUGUGUGCAUAACUUCUUAGAGGGAUUUUCGGUGUUCAGCCGCAAGAAAUUGAGCAAUAACAGGUCUGUAUGCCCUUAGAUGUCCGGGGCUGCACGCGCGCUACACUGGCAAAAUCAGCGUGCUUGUCCUUCCCCGAAAGGGGUUGGUAAACUCGUGAAAAUUUGCCGUGAUUGGGAUCGGAAAUUGCAAUUAUUUUCCGUGAACGAGGAAUUCCAAGUAAGUGCGAGUCAUCAACUCGCGUUGAUUACGUCCCUGCCCUUUGUACACACCGCCCGUCGCUGCCCGGGACUGAGCCGUUUCGAGAAACUUGGAGACCGCUGAUCUGGUAACUUCGAUUGCCAUUUUGGUGGGAACCAAUUUAAUCGCAGUGGCUUGAACCGGGCAAAAGUCGUAACAAGGUA